GACAGAGGGUGCAAACGUUGUUCGGAAUUACUGGGUGUAAAGGGUUCGUAGGCGGUGCGGCAAGUCGGGAGUGAAAUCUCUGGGCUUAACCCAGAGGCUGCUUCCGAAACUGCUGUGCUUGAGUGUGGGAGAGGCGCGUGGAAUUGCAGGUGUAGCGGUGAAAUGCGUAGAUAUCUGCAGGAACACCCGUGGCGAAAGCGGCGCGCUGGACCACUACUGACGCUGAGGAACGAAAGCUAGGGGAGCAAACAGG
rnacentral:rRNA from 1 species